rnacentral:rRNA from 1 species
GGCAGGUCCGCCUCACCGCGUGUACUUGACCGGCCGGGCCUUUCCUUCUGGAGAACCUCAUGCCCUUCACUGGGUGUGCUGGGGAACCAGGACUUUUACUUUGAAAAAAUUAGAGUGUUCAAAGCAGGCCUUUGCUCGAAUACGUUAGCAUGGAAUAAUAGAAUAGGACGUGCGGUCCUAUUUUGUUGGUUUCUAGGACCGCCGUAAUGAUUAAUAGGGACAGUCGGGGGCAUCAGUAUUCAAUUGUCAGAGGUGAAAUUCUUGGAUUUAUUGAAGACUAACUACUGCGAAAGCAUUUGCCAAGGAUGUUUUCAUUAAUCAGUGAACGAAAGUUAGGGGAUCGAAGACGAUCAGAUACCGUCGUAGUCUUAACCGUAAACUAUGCCGACUAGGGAUCGGGCGAUGUUCUCAUUUUGACUCGCUCGGCACCUUACGAGAAAUCAAAGUUUUU